rnacentral:rRNA from 1 species
UACGGAGGGCGCAAGCGUUGUUCGGAAUCACUGGGCGUAAAGCGCGUGUAGGCGGCUUGGUAAGACGGGUGUGAAAGCCCGGAGCUCAACUCCGGAACUGCACUCGGAACUGCCUCGCUAGAGUCCCGGAGAGGGUGGUGGAAUUCCCGGUGUAGAGGUGAAAUUCGUAGAUAUCGGGAGGAACACCAGUGGCGAAGGCGGCCACCUGGACGGUGACUGACGCUGAGACGCGAAAGCGUGGGGAGCAACCAGG